rnacentral:rRNA from 1 species
UGGGCAAUCUGCCCUUCACUCUGGGACAAGCCCUGGAAACGGGGUCUAAUACCGGAUAACACUCCUGCCUGCAUGGGUGGGGGUUGAAAGCUCCGGCGGUGAAGGAUGAGCCCGCGGCCUAUCAGCUUGUUGGUGGGGUAAUGGCCUACCAAGGCGACGACGGGUAGCCGGCCUGAGAGGGCGACCGGCCACACUGGGACUGAGACACGGCCCAGACUCCUACGGGAGGCAGCAGUGGGGAAUAUUGCACAAUGGGCGAAAGCCUGAUGCAGCGACGCCGCGUGAGGGAUGACGGCCUUCGGGUUGUAAACCUCUUUCAGCAGGGAAGAAGCGCAAGUGACGGUACCUGCAGAAGAAGCGCCGGCUAACUACGUGCCAGCAGCCGCGGUAAUACGUAGGGCGCAAGCGUUGUCCGGAAUUAUUGGGCGUAAAGAGCUCGUAGGCGGCUUGUCACGUCGGAUGUGAAAGCCCGGGGCUUAACCCCGGGUCUGCAUUCGAUACGGGCUAGCUAGAGUGUGGUAGGGGAGAUCGGAAUUCCUGGUGUAGCGGUGAAAUGCGCAGAUAUCAGGAGGAACACCGGUGGCGAAGGCGGAUCUCUGGGCCAUUACUGACGCUGAGGAGCGAAAGCGUGGGGAGCGAACAGGAUUAGAUACCCUGGUAGUCCACGCCGUAAACGUUGGGAACUAGGUGUUGGCGACAU